rnacentral:rRNA from 1 species
AUUGAACGCUGGCGGCAGGCCUAACACAUGCAAGUCGAGCGGAUGAAGGGAGCUUGCUCCUGGAUUCAGCGGCGGACGGGUGAGUAAUGCCUAGGAAUCUGCCUGGUAGUGGGGGAUAACGUCCGGAAACGGGCGCUAAUACCGCAUACGUCCUGAGGGAGAAAGUGGGGGAUCUUCGGACCUCACGCUAUCAGAUGAGCCUAGGUCGGAUUAGCUAGUUGGUGGGGUAAAGGCCUACCAAGGCGACGAUCCGUAACUGGUCUGAGAGGAUGAUCAGUCACACUGGAACUGAGACACGGUCCAGACUCCUACGGGAGGCAGCAGUGGGGAAUAUUGGACAAUGGGCGAAAGCCUGAUCCAGCCAUGCCGCGUGUGUGAAGAAGGUCUUCGGAUUGUAAAGCACUUUAAGUUGGGAGAAAGGGCAGUAAGUUAAGACCUUGCUGUUUUGACGUUACCAACAGAAUAAGCACCGGCUAACUUCGU